rnacentral:rRNA from 1 species
AAAUUGAAGAGUUUGAUCAUGGCUCAGAUUGAACGCUGGCGGCAGGCCUAACACAUGCAAGUCGAACGGUAACAGGAAGCAGCUUGCUGCUUCGCUGACGAGUGGCGGACGGGUGAGUAAUGUCUGGGAAACUGCCUGAUGGAGGGGGAUAACUACUGGAAACGGUGGCUAAUACCGCAUAACGUCGCAAGACCAAAGAGGGGGACCUUCGGGCCUCUUGCCAUCAGAUGUGCCCAGAUGGGAUUAGCUUGUUGGUGAGGUAAUGGCUCACCAAGGCGACGAUCCCUAGCUGGUCUGAGAGGAUGACCAGCCACACUGGAACUGAGACACGGUCCAGACUCCUACGGGAGGCAGCAGUGGGGAAUAUUGCACAAUGGGCGCAAGCCUGAUGCAGCCAUGCCGCGUGUAUGAAGAAGGCCUUCGGGUUGUAAAGUACUUUCAGCGGGGAGGAAGGUGUUGUGGUUAAUAACCGCAGCAAUUGACGUUACCCGCAGAAGAAGCACCGGCUAACUCCGUGCCAGCAGCCGCGGUAAUACGGAGGGUGCAAGCGUUAAUCGGAAUUACUGGGCGUAAAGCGCACGCAGGCGGUCUGUCAAGUCGGAUGUGAAAUCCCCGGGCUCAACCUGGGAACUGCAUUCGAAACUGGCAGGCUUGAGUCUUGUAGAGGGGGGUAGAAUUCCAGGUGUAGCGGUGAAAUGCGUAGAGAUCUGGAGGAAUACCGGUGGCGAAGGCGGCCCCCUGGACAAAGACUGACGCUCAGGUGCGAAAGCGUGGGGAGCAAACAGGAUUAGAUACCCUGGUAGUCCACGCCGUAAACGAUGUCUACUUGGAGGUUGUGCCCUUGAGGCGUGGCUUCCGGAGCUAACGCGUUAAGUAGACCGCCUGGGGAGUACGGCCGCAAGGUUAAAACUCAAAUGAAUUGACGGGGGCCCGCACAAGCGGUGGAGCAUGUGGUUUAAUUCGAUGCAACGCGAAGAACCUUACCUGGUCUUGACAUCCACAGAACUUUCCAGAGAUGGAUUGGUGCCUUCGGGAACUGUGAGACAGGUGCUGCAUGGCUGUCGUCAGCUCGUGUUGUGAAAUGUUGGGUUAAGUCCCGCAACGAGCGCAACCCUUAUCCUUUGUUGCCAGCGGUCCGGCCGGGAACUCAAAGGAGACUGCCAGUGAUAAACUGGAGGAAGGUGGGGAUGACGUCAAGUCAUCAUGGCCCUUACGACCAGGGCUACACACGUGCUACAAUGGCGCAUACAAAGAGAAGCGACCUCGCGAGAGCAAGCGGACCUCAUAAAGUGCGUCGUAGUCCGGAUUGGAGUCUGCAACUCGACUCCAUGAAGUCGGAAUCGCUAGUAAUCGUGGAUCAGAAUGCCACGGUGAAUACGUUCCCGGGCCUUGUACACACCGCCCGUCACACCAUGGGAGUGGGUUGCAAAAGAAGUAGGUAGCUUAACCUUCGGGAGGGCGCUUACCACUUUGUGAUUCAUGACUGGGGUGAAGUCGUAACAAGGUAACCGUAGGGGAACCUGCGGUUGGAUCACCUCCUUA